UGUCCAGGUAUACAAUCUUGGCUGUUCGCGAUGCCUAAAAAGCAUUGCAUAGCAAGGGCCGGGUCAAGUACCGGUGCCAGUCCGCCGCGGUAACACCGGCGGCUCGAGUGGUAACCGCUAUUAUUGGGUCUAAAGGGUCUGUAGCCGGCCGGAUAAGUCUCUUGGGAAAUCCAGCUGCUCAACAGUUGGGCUUUCAGGAGAUACUGGUUCGGCUCGAGGCCGGGAGAGGUGAGAGGUACUUCAGGGGUAGGGGUGAAAUCUUGUAAUCCUUGAAGGACCACCAGUGGCGAAGGCGUCUCACCAGAACGGACCUGACGGCAAGGGACGAAAGCUAGGGGCACGAACCGGAUUAGAUACCCGGGUAGUCCUAGCCGUAAACGAUACUCGCUAGGUGUCGGCCACGGUGCGACCGUGGUCGGUGCCGUAGGGAAGCCGUGAAGCGAGCCACCUGGGAAGUACGGCCGCAAGGCUGAAACUUAAAGGAAUUGGCGGGGGAGCAC
rnacentral:rRNA from 1 species